GGCUCCAUAGUGUAGUGGUUAGCACGUCUGCUUUACACGCAGAAGGUCCUGGGUUCGUGCCCCUGGUGGAGCCA
rnacentral:tRNA from 1 species